GACGAACGUAAAUGUUCGAACAAUUCCUGUUUAAAUAACACCGUGUGUACGAACACUUCCGGAAGCUACCAAUACGAGUGUCUUCCUGGAUACAACUUGACUGCAGAAGGCUGUGUUGAUAUCGUCGAUGAUUGUGCUAAUGCAAGUUGUGGAGAUGGCCAAUUUUGCACUGAUAAACCCGCAGGCUACGAUUGUACUUGCUACGCUUGUGCUGGGCGUUGCCAAUAUAAGGCAACUUUCAUGGAGCAGCUGGAAGUGUGUAUGAAGCUCAUUCAAGGAAACAUGACCAUUGAUGAAGCGCGCAUUCGUUGUGAAGGAGAAUUAAUUUCUCUGCCCUACAUUUCCACCAUAUUGGAUAAUUUUCCCGUUGAGACACUUCAUGAACCAGUUUCAGCUCUCAUGGAAAACG